rnacentral:snoRNA from 1 species
AGCUUGUGGAUUCCUAUCCUUCGGAUCUAAAUAUUGGUCUGAGUGGCUGAAAAACGGAGGAAAAGUGAAACAGAAGUGGACUUGAAGUCUUUAAUGACAUACAAGCUCAUUUCAAAUGUGU